GACGAACGCUGGCGGCGUGCUUAACACAUGCAAGUCGAACGGAAAGGCCUGCUUUCCCUUGUGGAUUGCGGGUACUCGAGUGGCGAACGGGUGAGUAACACGUGAGUGAUCUGCCCCCAACUUGGGUAUAAGCCUGGGAAACUGGGUCUAAUUCCCGAUAGGACUGCAGGGUGGUGCCUGUGGUGGAAAACGAUUUUCUAGUGGUUGGGGAUGAGCUCGCGGCCUAUCAGCUUGUUGGUGGGGUAAUGGCCUACCAAGGCGGCGACGGGUAGCCGGCCUGAGAGGGUGGACGGCCACAUUGGGACUGAGAUACGGCCCAGACUCCUACGGGAGGCAGCAGUGGGGAAUAUUGCACAAGGGGCGGAAGCCUGAUGCAGCGACGCCGCGGGGGGGAUGACGGCCUUCAGGUUGUAAACUCCUUUCGACCGCGAGGAAGCCACCUGGUUGGAAGGGUGGUGACGGUAGUGGUAGAAGAAGCACCGGCUAACUACGUG
rnacentral:rRNA from 1 species